rnacentral:rRNA from 1 species
UGCAUGUCUCAGUAUAAGCUUCUAUACGGCGAAACUGCGAAUGGCUCAUUAAAACAGUUAUAGUUUAUUUGGUGGUCAACUCUUACAUGGAUAACCGUGGUAAUUCUAGAGCUAAUACAUGCGCCCAAACCCAACUUCUUGGAAGGGUUGUGUUUAUUAGAUACAGAACCAACCCAGGCUCCGCCUGGCCUUGAGGUGAUUCACAAUAACCGAACGAAUCGCAUAGCUGCCGCUGGCGAUAGACCAUUCAAGUUUCUGACCUAUCAGCUAUCGUCGGUAGGGUAUUGGCCUACCGUGGCAAUGACGGGUAACGGAGAAUUAGGGUUCGAUUCCGGAGAGGGAGCCUGAGAAACGGCUACCACAUCUAAGGAAGGCAGCAGGCGCGCAAAUUACCCAAUCCUGACGCAGGGAGGUAGUGACAAGAAAUAACAAUACAGGGCAUAUCUGUCUUGUAAUUGGAAUGAGUAAACUUUAAAUCACUUUACGAGUAUCAAUUGGAG